rnacentral:rRNA from 1 species
GUCUAUGGCUAUCCCACCCUGAAUGCGCCUUAUCUCAUCUCAUCUCAGAAGCUAAGGAGGGUCGGAUCUGGUUAGUACUUGGAUAGGAAACAAGUCUUCCAGGCC